rnacentral:rRNA from 1 species
UACGUAGGGGCCUAGCGUUGUCCGGAUUUAUUGGGCGUAAAGAGCGUGUAGGCGGCCACACAGGUCAGCUGUGAAAAACUCGAGGCUCAACCUCGAGACGUCGGUUGAAACCGUAUGGCUAGAGUCCGGAAGAGGAGAGUGGAAUUCCCGGUGUAGCGGUGAAAUGCGCAGAUAUCGGGGAAGAACACCCGUGGCGAAGGCGGCUCUCUGGGACGGUACUGACGCUGAGACGCGAAAGCGUGGGGAGCGAACAGG